AUGCCGAAGUUUUUGAGAUAGUUGGUUGAAGUCUUGAAGAAUGGGAAGAAUGGAAAGAACAAACCGUGAGGGAUGCUGACACGUGGAUAACGGAAGCCGAUCGAACGGUUGGUAUAUGUGGGAGCUGUAAUCUUGGCGAUUAAGAUUGAUUAUUAAACGAUUAUUAUAGAAACGCCCGCGUACUACUAACCGCACGGCUCUGUGGUGCAGAGAUCUCAUAACCAUGAGCAAAGUUGUUGGUCACACAUGCGUCUUCUAGGACGUUGAGGAUUGCCAGGUCCCUGAUGGUAACGAUCCUGAUUCGAUUUCUGAGAAUAUGAAAUCAGCUCUGUUACAGGAUAAACCGGUUAAGAACCUGGUUUAGGCUAUCUAAUUUCUGGUUUAGUUAAUUAUGAUCUCUGGUUUACUUAUUUCAUCUUUCUCGCUUCUAUAUGUAUGGCAUUAGCCGCAAUUGGCAAACUUAAUCAAUGAAAUACAACAAUCUCUUUAAUCUCUA